AUUGAACGCUGGCGGCAGGCCUAACACAUGCAAGUCGAGCGAGCGGCGGACGGGUGAGUAAUGUCUGGGAAACUGCCUGAUGGAGGGGGAUAACUACUGGAAACGGAAGCUAAUACCGCAUACCACAGAAUGUGCCCCGAUGGGAUUAGCUAGUGGGUGGGGUAACGGCUAACCUAGGCGACGAUCCCUAGCUGGUCUGAGAGGUUGACAGGCCACACUGGAACUGCGAAACGGUCCAGACGCCUACGGGAGGCAGAAGUGGGGAAUAUUGCACAAUGGGCGCAAGCCUGAUGCAGCCAUGCCGCGUGUGUGAAGAAGGCCUUCGGGUUGUAAAGCACUUUCAGCGGGGAGGCGUUACCCGCAGAAGAAGCACCGGCUAACUCCGUGCCAGCAGCCGCGGUAAUAC
rnacentral:rRNA from 1 species